UACAGGGGGGGGCAAGCGUUGUUCGGAAUUACUGGGCGUAAAGGGCUCGUAGGUGGCCAACUAAGUCGGACGUGAAAUCCCUCAGCUUAACUGGGGAACUGCGUCCGAUACUGGAUGGCUUGAGUUUGGGAGAGGGAUGCGGAAUUCCCGGUGUAGCGGUGAAAUGCGUAGAGAUCGGGAGGAACAUCAGUGGCGAAGGCGGCCAUCUGGGACAACACUGACGCUGAGGCACGAAAGCGUGGGGAGCAAACA
rnacentral:rRNA from 1 species